AAAAGAAAAUGCCAACUUGACAUUUAAGAAAGACUACUGUAGUAUCAUUUUAUUCUGAGGUUUACGGAAGCUUAGUUUAAAGUUUAAAAACUUUUAAAAACUAUACUGUCAUUCUUGCAAAUUGCAAUGUUUUGAUGUCAGCAAUAAAAGAUUAAAAGCACUAAUGUACUUUAUUAAUUGAAUAUAUAUAUCUGAUACAUGGAGAACAGUCACUUAGUUAAAAAACAGAAAGCCCAGCAUACUGAAUAGUGUUAAAGCAUAUUUCUAUUUGUAAUGGUUGUGAUGGCCCCAGGACCUGCCUGCUGUCCUGGCAGGUCCUUGUGGGUGGAGGGCUGAAUAGAGAAUGGGAAACACCAAGGCAGGGCUACAAACAGCAUGGUGGGACACUUGACUAAGUAAGACCAAUGAAGGAAGCUCAAUCUCUGUUUUGAAAUACUUUAGCUUUUUAGGAAAAUACCAUUUUUAUUUGUAAUAUAUUAGGUCUGUAACUUUUUUCCAAAAAUGAAUUUCAAACAAAAUUAAAAUGCCCCAUAAUUUGUUUGUUGUGAUAAGGGCCAACGUAUCUAGAGGGAAAACAAUCAUGGUGUUUUUUCGCCCCACAUGAGACUACAUUAGCAUCAAGUGAGCAUUUUGUUGCAAGCUCAUCCAUGCUUCCUCCACUUUACUUAGAAUGUUAAUUUGCUUUCCGAUGUAAGUUGCGCACUUUCCUUGCACAUCUUUCCAUUUCGUUAGUAGCGUACGCCUUGUGUCCCCAUGACUGCAUGUUGCACGGCUCUAAUGAAAAGCGACAAAUUAAAAGACACCGAUAUGCAGUCCCUCACCCUUUUCCUUUCCUCCCCCAGGAAUCCAUCUGUGCCGCCCAGUUGAUCACCGAGGACGAGGGCUUGGGUCGGCUGGCCCACACGGUGCAGGUCUUGGUGGACCUCGCGCCGACUGCUGCCAGCCAUCGCCGCUAGCAGACCGGAGCCGCUAGGGGCGGACAGGCUAAGCACUGCUCCAUCCUUCUCUUAGCUCCAUGUCGUCCACUGAUUUUGCUGUCAUCCAAAGUAAAAACAGGCGUUUAGUUAGAUUUUUUUGGUUUUCAAGUAGGCCUAUAUAAAUUAUGCACAUGGCAAGUGGAAGUCGAGCAACUUGUUUUAAAGUUGAUUCAUACUUUUUUUUUGUUAGGAUUUUGAACUUUAAACAUUUUUUUACUCAUCAAACAUCUAAUUAUCAUGCAAUUGUUCAUACGGCAUUAUCAUUAUCAUUAUCGGCAUUAUCCCGACCAACAAUAACAGCAUAUGACUGCACUGAAUUCAUCAAAAAAAAGCAUGUAUUUUCAAUCUUUGUCAGUUCCAUUCCAAUUCCCUGUCGUCGUCAUUCAGUAAAUUCAAAUAAAAAGCUAUACAUUUU